rnacentral:rRNA from 1 species
AACGAACGCUGGCGGCAUGCCUAACACAUGCAAGUCGAACGAAGCCUUCGGGCUUAGUGGCGCACGGGUGCGUAACGCGUGGGAAUCUGCCCUUGGGUUCGGAAUGACAGUUAGAAAUGACUGCUAAUACCGGAUGAUGUCUUCGGACCAAAGAUUUAUCGCCCAGGGAUGAGCCCGCGUCGGAUUAGCUAGUUGGUGAGGUAAAGGCUCACCAAGGCGACGAUCCGUAGCUGGUCUGAGAGGAUGAUCAGCCACACUGGGACUGAGACACGGCCCAGACUCCUACGGGAGGCAGCAGUGGGGAAUAUUGGACAAUGGGCGAAAGCCUGAUCCAGCAAUGCCGCGUGAGUGAUGAAGGCCUUAGGGUUGUAAAGCUCUUUUACCCGGGAUGAUAAUGACAGUACCGGGAGAAUAAGCCCCGGCUAACUCCGUGCCAGCAGCCGCCGUAAGAC